CGGACAUGUUUACAAUAAUAUCUGCAGACAACUGACAAUCGGUGAUAGCCUACACUAGAGAGACGAAAACAAUUCAAAAGGCACAUAGACAGAGCUGGAAGGAGACUGUAUUUGAGACCUAAAACCUUGAGCAAAGAGAUAAAGAGAGACCAAAGAACUAACAGAAGGCAAUUUCCAUCCAAGGUAAUAUCCUUGACCAUUCAAGGAUGAGGAGGAAAACAACACAGCCGAUUUGUUCCCGGGUCCUCUCUGCACACUAUGAGGUGGCCCAGCAUUUCUUGUCCAAGGGGCCCAAGGUCAUGGCCAUUCGACGGGAGACGAUCAGCAUUUUGGAGAGGAGGGUCCCCCCCAAAUCCUCAGCAUGUCCGGAAGCUGGUCAAGAGUGGGGUCAAGGUCAUUGUUCAGCCGUCCAAUAGAAGAGCCUAUAACAUGCAGAUUGGACUUGAACCGGGGACCUUUAAAAUUUGAAAUUUAAAAAAAUACUAUAAGAGUCAUAGGAAAAGACAGUGC